UACGUAGGGCGCAAGCGUUGUCCGGAAUUAUUGGGCGUAAAGAGCUCGUAGGCGGUCUGUCGCGUCGGAUGUGAAAGCCCGGGGCUUAACCCCGGGUCUGCAUUCGAUACGGGCAGACUAGAGUGUGGUAGGGGAGAUCGGAAUUCCUGGUGUAGCGGUGAAAUGCGUAGAUAUCAAGAGGAACACCUGAGGUGAAGACGGGUUGCUGGGCUGACACUGACGCUGAGGCGCGAAAGCUAGGGUAGCAAACGGG
rnacentral:rRNA from 1 species